rnacentral:rRNA from 1 species
AGUGGCGAACGGGUGAGUAAUAUAUCGGAACGUGCCCAGUCGUGGGGGAUAACGUAGUGAAAAUUACGCUAAUACCGCAUACGAUCUAAGGAUGAAAGCGGGGGAUCGCAAGACCUCGCGCGAUUGGAGCGGCCGAUAUCAGAUUAGGUAGUUGGUGAGGUAAAGGCUCACCAAGCCAACGAUCUGUAGCUGGUCUGAGAGGACGACCAGCCACACUGGAACUGAGACACGGUCCAGACUCCUACGGGAGGCAGCAGUGGGGAAUUUUGGACAAUGGACGCAAGUCUGAUCCAGCCAUUCCGCGUGCAGGACGAAGGCCUUCGGGUUGUAAACUGCUUUUGUACAGAACGAAAAGGUCUCUAUUAAUACUAGGGGCUCAUGACGGUACUGUAAGAAUAAGCACCGGCUAACUACGUGCCAGCAGCCGCGGUAAUACGUAGGGUGCAAGCGUUAAUCGGAAUUACUGGGCGUAAAGCGUGCGCAGGCGGUUAUAUAAGACAGAUGUGAAAUCCCCGGGCUCAACCUGGGAACUGCAUUUGUGACUGUAUAGCUGGAGUGCGGCAGAGGGGGAUGGAAUUCCGCGUGUAGCAGUGAAAUGCGUAGAUAUGCGGAGGAACACCGAUGGCGAAGGCAAUCCCCUGGGCCUGCACUGACGCUCAUGCACGAAAGCGUGGGGAGCAAACAGGAUUAGAUACCCUGG